CUAUUUUGCAAUUUCAACUCAAAAGGUACCAUUAUAGUAGUCAAACAUUUUCCUUGUUUAUCUAUACUACUAUGGGUAUCCUAUCACAAAUUAUCACUAAAUACUCUCAAACUCAAACGGCUUUAUCUCCGUCCUUAGUUUGCUUAACUUAUCCUGAUGAAUACCCGUUGAAGAUCAAAAUUAAUUUAAUUAUUUGACCACACAAAUACUCAAAAUCAAAACACACAGA
rnacentral:lncRNA from 1 species